rnacentral:rRNA from 1 species
UACGAAGGGGGCUAGCGUUGCUCGGAAUGACUGGGCGUAAAGGGCGCGUAGGCGGAUUGCUUUGUCAGACGUGAAAUUCCAGGGCUCAACCUUGGGGCUGCGUUUGAGACGGGUGAUCUUGAGUGGAGAAGAGGGUCGUGGAAUUCCCAGUGUAGAGGUGAAAUUCGUAGAUAUUGGGAAGAACACCGGUGGCGAAGGCGGCGACCUGGUCUUUUACUGAGCUGAGGCGCGAAAGCGUGGGGAGCAAACAGG